rnacentral:rRNA from 1 species
UACGUAGGGUGCAAGCGUUAAUCGGAAUUACUGGGCGUAAAGCGUGCGCAGGCGGUUUUGUAAGUCUGUCGUGAAAGCCCCGGGCUCAACCUGGGAAUUGCAUUUGUGACUGCACGGCUAGAGUGUGUCAGAGGGGGGUAGAAUUCCACGUGUAGCAGUGAAAUGCGUAGAUAUGUGGAGGAAUACCGAUGGCGAAGGCAGCCCCCUGGGAUAACACUGACGCUCAUGCACGAAAGCGUGGGGAGCAAACAGG